UGGGGAAUAUUGCGCAAUGGGGGAAACCCUGACGCAGCGACGCCGCGUGCGGGAUGAAGGCCUUCGGGUUGUAAACCGCUUUCGGCAGGGACGAAGCGAAAGUGACGGUACCUGCAGAAGAAGCCCCGGCCAACUACGUGCCAGCAGCCGCGGUAAGACGUAGGGGGCGAGCGUUGUCCGGAAUCACUGGGCGUAAAGCGCGCGCAGGCGGCCCGGUAAGUCGGUAGUGAAAACACGGGGCUCAACCCCGUGCCUGCUAUCGAUACUGCCGGGCUCGAGGUAGGUAGGGGAGAUCGGAAUUCCUGGUGUAGCGGUGAAAUGCGCAGAUAUCAGGAGGAACACCGGUGGCGAAGGCGGAUCUCUGGGCCUUACCUGACGCUCAGGCGCGAAAGCUGGGGGAGCAAACAGG
rnacentral:rRNA from 1 species